AUGGAAUUUCUUCCUUGCUGCCUUGUUCGGAUUGUCAGACCUCCCACUCUCUGGAUGUCAUAAACUGCAAGUUGAGAUCAUUCUGGACCUCUCAGCCUUCGAGACCCAUGCCAUUGCAGUGAGGUGAGAACAGCUUGGGAUGAGCCUUCUGAAAACCAUGCUGGAACAGCAUCCCUCAAGCCUGCUGGUCACUGGUGAUGAUCCUGAGCAAGCUGGGUGUUGCAGCACCAGAGCCCUGUGUCCUCAUGACUGUAAACCUGGGGAUCUGCAAGUUGCUGUGCAUACUUACACUGCCAAGGGAAAGUUUGAUGUGAGAGAGGACUCAGAGCACCUCAAGACACGUCUUUUAUCUGUCUAAACCCGUGCACUGAGGUCAGAUUUGUAACACUGUACCUUCAACUCCUUUAGGUUGUGUCAUUCCAGUGGAGCUCAAUGGAACUACUGUGGCAUAAACUGAUGGAA